CUCUUUCUAUUUCCAUCCCUCCCUUUAUGUUCUCCGCCGCCAUUGAAAAGACCACCAUCACUCCAAAAUGUCAUGAUCAUCAGAAGAAAGAAGAAGAUCGCAUAAUAUUUAUCCCCUCAAAAUAAAUAAGGUCGACAAUGGCAGAGAUGAGAUGAACGAGUGAGUCGGUGGUUUUCCUUGACUCAUAUCAAUUCCCUCGUCAAGAGUUUGAGUUGAAAAAAGCGAAUCAAAGAGCAGAAACUUUGCCCUAAUUUCUCUCCGUUGAUGUCAAAUCCUAGAGGGGUUUAUGCAAUAUGAGUAUGUGAUGAAGUGUGACUAUGUCUAUUAUGUUGCCUUGAUAUUUGAAGAAAAACCACCACUGAUCAUGAGCUCUGAUGUUGUUGACGUCAACAUCAACAAGAAGAUAUCACACAAUGAUUUCUUCUCUCCAACAAAUAGAGGGGGAAAUGAACAAUUUGCGGCCAUGGAACCUACUCAAUGCAUCAUCAUUGGUUAACCAUGCAGCGGCCAUGGAACCUCUCCUUCUUUCUUGAUGAGGGGACAGUUCAAAUGCUUACUCUAGUGCUGCUGUCUUGAACAAUCAUGAAAAUCUUUGUAGAUGUUAUAUCUGGACAGACCUAUUUAUGUAUAUUUGUUUAAAAAACACAGCGAAUCCAAAACAUUUAAG